AUCAUUGUUAUUAUUAAUUUUUUAAAUCAAUUGUCAAUUCAAUGACUUUGCUCUCUUUGAGAAAUCUUAGAAAUGGAAAUCAUUCUCAAUUUCUGUUUUUAUUGCUGAUAAAACAUUAGAAAGCAAAAACUAAGGAUGCUUUUUUUUAUUGAAAAAAUUUUCUUUUUUGUUCUGCUGUUGGUUGUUGUAUUCUAAAUAUGGAGAAAAAAAUUAGUGAUAAAACACAAGGAAAAAAGAAGUGAAGACAAAAUAGAAAUUAGGAAUGAUUAACCAGCAACCAUGCUGAUAAAGUGCCAUCUUCCCUUCUUAGAUUGACUCUCCAGCAUAUGAUGUCUGGGAAAACAUAUGGUUUACUUUCUUUGUUCAAUAUGCUUGAUACAUAAAUUCUGAAAAUUGUAUGGCCUGAUUGAGUAGGCAUGCUGUAGAUUUCUUGCUUGAAUAUGUAUGGUUUGUUCUUUAAAAUUACAAUUAAACAUAAUAUUCUAGAUAUUAAGAUUGUCACAAGCUUAUGUAGAUCACAGUUUGUGCAACGAUUUGAUCCUGAGUGAGAGAAAGGUUUUGUGAUUUUGAUUGUCUAGGGUGACUUUUGAUUGAGAUGUUUGAUUGAGUUGUCAAGACAAAGGGAAUGUAAAUCUAGAUCAACACUUAUAGAAAAUUAAAGUUAUAUAUUGAAGUUUUGGGUUUUUAGAAUUAGAGAGGUUGAACAAACAGAAAUCAUGCUACAAUGUACCUGGAAUGAAUAUUUGUGCUGCCUCCUUUAAGAAAUCUAUAUCUGUUAUGUCUUCGACCUGUCCAAGUUAGCAUAUAUUAGUUAAACUGUACAUUAGUAUUUAUCAAGCAGUUUAGAAAGUGUCACCUUAUAAAACAAGGCUAAAUCCUCUCUCUCCCAGUUUAUUCGCUACAUUGAAGUUGUUUGUUACAGCUAACACUCUUUUUCAAUUGAAGAGUGGUUGUUCUACAUCAUUCUUCACAACUUCAGCUCUUUCUUUACAUAUACUCUCAUUCAUAUAGCCUUCUGUGUUCCCUGUUUCAUUCUUAUUAUCAGAGCAUUGAUUGUUUGCAACAAUAAAAUAUGUGUUUGUGUGAGUGAAAAAGAGAAAAAAAAAAGAGAAGGGUGGUAGCACUAUACCUUCCAUUCUCAAGUAUUUCUUUCAUAUGAAGAAUUUGUUAGCUGGGAGAUUUUUUGUCAAGAAACUUUCUUUCUUUCAGUUUUUUUGUGAAGAGAUUUUUUGUCAACAGACUUUUGUUUUUCUCAAAAUAGAAAUUGACAAUUAUUUUAUCUUAACCUCUUUUAUCUUAACCGCUUUGGUGUACAUCUUUAUUGUUUCUAGCAGCGGACAGAUCUAGAAUGCUUUUGUAUCAAUUCUUUAUUUAUGUUCUGUAGAAUAAAAUUGUAGUCACAGACCAUUUAGAUUGAUUAAAGAGAGAAAAAAACACAUUGGUUUGAUGAAAAUACUAAAUGCAAAACAUACCUGGGUAUAACAACAGCACACAACAUGGUUGAGGUCAUUUGGGACCGUUGUCAGAGUAAAGGCUUUAGCCUAUCAGACAGUAAAUUCAAUACCAGUAACUUGAUUCCCAUAUGUUACUACCACUGAACUCUUGCAUUGGUCAUCAUUGCUUGGGUGUUCCAUUGUAUAAGUUUGAUAAUCACAUGGAUGCUGCAAUGCAAACCCCAAAAUAUUACGAUUGCAAAAGGAUUAUUUAGAAUAUCAGAAUAAAACCAACAAGCCAUACAAAUGUUAUAGAUUGAAAAAUCCCAAAAUACUGAUAAAGUGCCAUCUUCCCUUCUAUGUGUACUCUCUUUAUGGUUCAUGAAACUGUAGUGAAGUAUCUGAAAUUCAAUUUGGUUUAAUGAUAUACCAAUUUAAAUUUCUCUAUCUGAUUAAUGUCAUAGUUUGAGAUAUGCAAUAGAUUUCUUAGGUUCUGACUUCUGAUCUCUUUGCACGAUUUGAUUGUUAGUUAUAGUGUUAGAUAUGGAAUUGAUUUUUAGGUUCUGACUUCUGAUACCAUUACAGUAUUACUAUAGGCAUCUAUAGUAUGGAAUUGAUAUCUUCUUGGUUGAAUUACUUGCUAUUUACUCAUGAGAUUUGAAGUGUUGUAUACUAAUGACUGAUUUGAUUGGAAGCUACAGAUUUUGAAAUGAGGUAUUUCUUCCUUAAAAAUGUUUAUCAAUUAUGUUGUUUGAUAAUUAAAAAAAAAAUGAGUUUUCUAACCCUAAACCCUCUAAUAUCUGAGUAUAUUGUUGAAUCUUUUGGGUGUUUUGUUGAGAUUCAUUUUAGGGUAGAGCUUUUUGUAAUUUAACGAUAACUAUAGAAAUAUUACGGAGUACCAUUGUUUUAUUCUAUUUUGAGCUUAUAAGAGCUGCAUAUUUGACUUUUGGAAUGGGAAUUGAUUUGAAGAACAAAUUUUUUUCAAUUUCAAACCUUAUAAUCCUGUUUCUAUGUUUCCUGUUUGUAUUAUCUGUUACUGCUCCUUUAUCAUGUUUUAUGGAAUAUAUACAUCUACCUUGAUUUCCUCUUCCACCUUGAUGCAAAAUCGAGGUGACAGGGUGUUAAAAGGUUCUUAAGGGAAAGGCCAUCCAUGGUUGAAGAAGGGCAAUGGAUAUACCAUACACCCACCUAAAUGAGGCUUCCAUGAAAUUUUGAUUGUUUCAGGAGAUCUUGGGUACGAAAUCCAAAUAUGAGAAGCGGUCAUUCAACCAAAUUGUUUAACGAUUCUUCGCUUUAAAGCAUCGCGCGGGUCCUUUUGCUUGU